rnacentral:tRNA from 1 species
GUCCCGGGGUGUAUGGCACAUCGGAUUGCAAAUCCGAAAGAGCAGGCUAACAGCCUGCCGGGGCUU